UUUGUUUUUUUUUUUGUACGGAUGGGGGUUUGCUAUGUUGUCCGGGCUGGUCUUGAACUCCUGGGCUCAAGCGAUCCUCCCAAAUGCUGAGAUUCCAGGCAUGAGCCACCAGACCCAGCUGGCAAUGUAUCCUUUCUUCUUUGCUCCUAAGUUAUUUAAUUUUUUUAUGCUGUUACUUCCUCUUGGUCCAUUUGAAAAUUACCUGUUGGUUUCGCUUCACACCGCCAAUAUCUUCCUCUGUUUCCCUGCGUGCCUUUGUGGUGUUGACUUUGUCUUUGUGGCCCAGCUAUCCCACCUCAUAUCACACCCACUGUUGGGGUCUGGGUGUGUCUUUCAGAAGCACUGCCCUCCUCUGGGGCCCAGCUGUUUUUGCCUGUGUGUUUAGGUCCUCCAGGGAUACCAGCAGCUCUUUCUGGCAAUGUACAUGGUGGGAGGACAGAGAAGCCAGCCCUGCUGUGUGUCUCUCAAGCGAAUUGAAGGAGAAAAACACACGGUAGGCAUUCAAUGCCUUUCCGCUGAAGACAGGAAGGAAGGGAAGGGGAUGGCCCCAGUCUCCAAGAUGCCUCGCCGAUGCCUCCUCUCUGCUGCUUGUCAACCAGGAAAACCCUCUGGCCAGGGAGCUUACUUAGCCUUGACUCUUCUGGGAGUAGCAGCAACAGGAGGACGCCGUCUCCCUGGGUGCAGCUCCCUGAUUUUGGGAGUGCUGAGCUGAAAAGCUGGAGGCGUGGCUGCCUGGGGGUGCCGGCCCGCCCCUGGCUGCUUUCAUCCACUCCUCACUUGCGGCCUGGUG
rnacentral:antisense_RNA from 1 species